AAGUCGAGGCCACAGUAAGCGGUGGUCGCGCCACUGCACUCCAGCCUGGACGACAGAGCGAGACGCUGUCUUAAAACAAAAAAACAAACAAACAAAAAAAAUUCCCCAGCCAUCUCUUCUGCUGUCAAACACCGUCUACAAGAUUUGCAUCAAACAACGUGAGAACUUGAAAUAUGUCUCCAUUCUUUUUCCGUAGUACUCUCGUCCAUUCACUUACAGUAAAGCACUUACUAUAUACGUUUUUCAUUUUAUUUUGUUUGACUCUUCCUUUGUGUCAGCCUCUUCCUUUUGUCUCACACAUACACACCACUCACACAUUUAUGAGCUCCUUAAUGGCAAUGGUUAUGGCUUUGUCAUUUGUACU